UUUAAAGAGAGUUUGAUCCUGGCUCAGGACGAACGCUGGCGGCGUGCCUAAUACAUGCAAGUCGAACGAACGGAGGAAGAGCUUGCUCUUCCAAUGUUAGUGGCGGACGGGUGAGUAACACGUGGGCAACCUGCCUGUAAGUUGGGGAUAACUCCGGGAAACCGGGGCUAAUACCGAAUGAUAAG
rnacentral:rRNA from 1 species